ACGAACGCUGGCGGCAUGCCUAACACAUGCAAGUCGAACGAGACCUUCGGGUCUAGUGGCGCACGGGUGCGUAACGCGUGGGAACCUGCCCUUAGGUUCGGAAUAACUCCCCGAAAGGGGUGCUAAUACCGGAUAAUGUCUUCGGACCAAAGAUUUAUCGCCUUUGGAUGGGCCCGCGUUGGAUUAGCUAGUUGGUAGGGUAAAAGCCUACCAAGGCGACGAUCCAUAGCUGGUCUGAGAGGAUGAUCAGCCACACUGGGACUGAGACACGGCCCAGACUCCUACGGAAGGCAGCGGUGGGGAAAAUUGGACAAUGGGCGAAGGCCUAAUCCAGCAAUGCCGCGUGAGUGAUGAAGGCCUUAGGGUUGUAAGCUCUUUUACCCGGGAUGAUAAUGACAGUACCGGGAGAAUAAGCUCCGGCUAACUCCGUG
rnacentral:rRNA from 1 species